rnacentral:lncRNA from 1 species
AUAAGGCCCAACCGGAGCUCCAUCGUAAGGUGCAAUAUCGGAGAGCUUAACUCGGGCCAAAGGCGGCAGCCCAAGUUCUACCCCAGGCGACCCAAUUGCAUGGUCCCGACCCAAAGAAAGUGGUGAAGGUGAAGGAAAUUGAGUAGUAGCAGUGUUGGGGGAUCUAAGAGCAGGUGGAGGAGUGGGAUUGAUUGGGUGUGGUGCAGGUGCAGUAGACUGAUGUUGAUGCUGAUGCAUCAUGAUCAUAACCAUCGAUCAUUUCCUUACAUAUAGAAGAGUGUGUGUGAGUGUGUGAGAGAUAGAGAAAGUUGAAUUAGGGUUUAUGUAUUUGGAAAGACGAAUUUUGUAGCUGGAGCGGCGGAAGUCCAAGUUCUACCGGCGGCCCAAUUACACGGUCCCGACCCAAAGAAAGUGGUGAAGGUGAAGGAAAUUGAGUAGUAGCAAUGUUGGGGGAUCUAAGAGUGGGUGGAGGAGUGGGAUUGAUUGGUUGUGGUGCAGGUUCAGUGGACUGAUGCUGAUACAUCAUGAUCAUAACCAUCGAUCAUUUCCGUAUGUGCAGAAGCACUGUGUGUGUGAGAGAGAGAGAGAGAGUGAGUGAGAGAGAGUUGAAUUAGGGUUUAUGUAGUUGGAAGAUGAAUUUUGUAGCUGGAGAAUUCUGGAAAUGGGAAAUUGUUGAGAUUCGUUAAAGGAAAAUUUGAGAGGUUUUUGGCUGCAGAAAAAAUUGAAAUGGAGUUGAAGCGCUGACAGUGGUAAAGAAGACGAAACUGUUCUCUUUUGAGUUCUUUUUCCUUUCUUUUUUCCGCCUAAUAUUUGGUACCCGCAUACUAAGUGGGCGUUUGGACUUUGGACAUA